rnacentral:sRNA from 1 species
AAAUAGCCCCGAUAGAAGCGAAAAUCUCCCGAUUUAGAAAAACAAGGCUUUUUUGCCGUAGUUUUUCUAAAUCGGGAAUUGCCGUGGAUAGCGGGAGAAAUG